UACGUAGGGUGCGGGCGUUAAUCGGAAUUACUGGGCGUAAAGCGUGCGCAGGCGGCUUUUCAAGUCAGGUGUGAAAUCCCCGGGCUUAACCUGGGAAUGGCGCUUGAAACUGGAAGGCUUGAGUGUGGCAGAGGGGGGUGGAAUUCCACGUGUAGCGGUGAAAUGCGUAGAUAUCAGGAGGAACACCGGUGGCGAAGGCGCUCAUCUGGCCCAAUACUGACGCUGAUGCGCGAAAGCUAGGGGAGCAAACGGG
rnacentral:rRNA from 1 species